UGCUUCUUUGCCAGUUUCUGGCUCACUAUCA
rnacentral:piRNA from 1 species